AGGAAGGGGAAAUUCUUGCAUCACAGGCAGUUCACCACUCCAACAUUGAAGAUCCAUUUACAGCAAAGGCAUAUGCAGGAUUACAAGCAAUAAAACUAGGUAUCAGUUUGAGAAUCAACAAAAUCGAAGUUAUGGGUGACUCGAAAACGAUUAUCAAGAAGUGUCAAAGUUCUAUUAUAGACAGAUCGGUCAUUGGAGCAAUAAUCAGAGACAUUCAAAACAGGAAAAUCAGUUACCAGGAGAUUGAGUUUUCUUUUAUCCCAAAAGCAAGAAACAUCUAUGCUCACAUUUUACCUAGAGAAGGGAGUCCCAGAAAUGGUCCGUCACGCACUGGAGAGAUUCAGGCUGAAACCACUAGAUUGAAGAAAUGAAGAGUUUUUCUCUCCUGCAAUUAAAGGUAGCAGAGAAACAGAAGCAUUGGAAAC
rnacentral:lncRNA from 1 species